ACACUCCUACGGGAGGCAGCAGUGGGGAAUAUUGCACAAUGGGCGGAAGCCUGAUGCAGCAACGCCGCGUGCGGGAUGACGGCCUUCGGGUUGUAAACCGCUUUCGCCUGUGACGAAGCGUGAGUGACGGUAAUGGGUAAAGAAGCACCGGCUAACUACGUGCCAGCAGCCGCGGUGAUACGUAGGGUGCGAGCGUUGUCCGGAUUUAUUGGGCGUAAAGGGCUCGUAGGUGGUUGAUCGCGUCGGAAGUGUAAUCUUGGGGCUUAACCCUGAGCGUGCUUUCGAUACGGGUUGACUUGAGGAAGGUAGGGGAGAAUGGAAUUCCUGGUGGAGCGGUGGAAUGCGCAGAUAUCAGGAGGAACACCAGUGGCGAAGGCGGUUCUCUGGGCCUUUCCUGACGCUGAGGAGCGAAAGCGUGGGGAGCGAACAGGCUUAGAUACCCCGGUAGUCCC
rnacentral:rRNA from 1 species